GACGAACGCUGGCGGCAUGCUUAACACAUGCAAGUCGAACGGAAAGGCCCUGCUUUUGUGGGGUGCUCGAGUGGCGAACGGGUGAGUAACACGUGAGUAACCUGCCCUUGACUUUGGGAUAACUUCAGGAAACUGGGGCUAAUACCGGAUAGGAGCUCCUGCUGCAUGGUGGGGGUUGGAAAGUUUCGGCGGUUGGGGAUGGACUCGCGGCUUAUCAGCUUGUUGGUGGGGUAGUGGCUUACCAAGGCUUUGACGGGUAGCCGGCCUGAGAGGGUGACCGGCCACAUUGGGACUGAGAUACGGCCCAGAGGCGUACGGGAAGCAGCAGUGGGAAAUAUUGCACAAUGGGCGGAAGCCUGAUGCAGCAGCCCCGCGGGCGGGAUGACGGCCUUCGGGUUGUCAACCGCUUUCGCCUGUGACGAAGCGUGCGUGACGGUAAUGGGUAAAGAAGCACCGGCUAACUACGUG
rnacentral:rRNA from 1 species